ACGAACGCUGGCGGCAUGCCUAACACAUGCAAGUCGAACGAAGGCUUCGGCCUUAGUGGCGCACGGGUGCGUAACGCGUGGGAAUCUGCCCUUGGGUUCGGAAUAACGUCGGGAAACUGACGCUAAUACCGGAUGAUGACGUAAGUCCAAAGAUUUAUCGCCCAAGGAUGAGCCCGCGUCGGAUUAGCUAGUUGGUGAGGUAAAAGCUCACCAAGGCGACGAUCCGUAGCUGGUCUGAGAGGAUGAUCAGCCACACUGGGACUGAGACACGGCCCAGACUCCUACGGGAGGCAGCAGUGGGGAAUAUUGGACAAUGGGCGAAAGCCUGAUCCAGCAAUGCCGCGUGAGUGAUGAAGGCCUUAGGGUUGUAAAGCUCUUUUACCCGGGAUGAUAAUGACCGUACCGGGAGAAUAAGCUCCGGCUAACUCCGUG
rnacentral:rRNA from 1 species